rnacentral:tRNA from 1 species
AUUAGUGUAGCACAGUGGUCUGAGCCUGACUCUCUGAUCGUGGCGGCCUGGGUUCGAGUCCCAGGGUAGUG